CGAGUUCGUCAGACUGUCGCUUCUAAUGCGGGACAACCGCAUCAGGGGAGGAAAGUCCGGACUCCGCAGGGCAGGGUGCUGGCUAACAGCCAGGCGCAGUGAUGCGACGGAUAGCGCAACAGAAAACAAACCGCCGGCACACGUUGCCGGUAAGGAUGAAACGGCGAGGUAAGAGCUCACCAGCGCGGCAGCGAUGCCGCGGCUUGGCAAGCCCCACCCGGAGCAACGCCAAAACGUGCAGAUGAGGCGGCCCGCUGAUGCACAGGUAGGCGGCUUGAGAUCCGCAGUAAUGCGUGAUCCAGAGAGAUGACAGCCACGGCCUUCCCGCAAGGGCAGGCUUUGACAGAAUCCGGCUUACCGACGGACUCGGACA
rnacentral:RNase_P_RNA from 1 species